AACGGCAGCACAGUAAGAGCUUGCUCUUAUGGGUGGCGAGUGGCGGACGGGUGAGGAAUACAUCGGAAUCUACUCUGUCGUGGGGGAUAACGUAGGGAAACUUACGCUAAUACCGCAUACGACCUACGGGUGAAAGCAGGGGAUCUUCGGACCUUGCGCGAUUGAAUGAGCCGAUGUCGGAUUAGCUAGUUGGCGGGGUAAAGGCCCACCAAGGCGACGAUCCGUAGCUGGUCUGAGAGGAUGAUCAGCCACACUGGAACUGAGACACGGUCCAGACUCCUACGGGAGGCAGCAGUGGGGAAUAUUGGACAAUGGGCGCAAGCCUGAUCCAGCCAUACCGCGUGGGUGAAGAAGGCCUUCGGGUUGUAAAGCCCUUUUGUUGGGAAAGAAAUCCAGCCGGCUAAUACCUGGUUGGGAUGACGGUACCCAAAGAAUAAGCACCGGCUAACUUCGUGCCAGCAGCCGCGGUAAUACGAAGGGUGCAAGCGUUACUCGGAAUUACUGGGCGUAAAGCGUGCGUAGGUGGUCGUUUAAGUCCGUUGUGAAAGCCCUGGGCUCAACCUGGGAACUGCAGUGGAUACUGGACGACUAGAGUGUGGUAGAGGGUAGCGGAAUUCCUGGUGUAGCAGUGAAAUGCGUAGAGAUCAGGAGGAACAUCCAUGGCGAAGGCAGCUACCUGGACCAACACUGACACUG
rnacentral:rRNA from 1 species